rnacentral:rRNA from 1 species
GAUUAUGGCUCAGAUUGAACGCUGGCGGCGUGCUUAACACAUGCAAGUCGCGCGUGAAAGGACUUCGGUCCGAGUAAAGCGGCGCACGGGUGAGUAACGCGUGGAUGAUCUACCCAUGAGUUAGGAAUAACGGCUGGAAACGGUCGCUAAUACCAAAUACGCUCCGAUUUCAACUUCGGGGGAAAGGUGGCCUCUGCUUGCAAGCUACUGCUCAUGGAUGAGUCCGCGUCCCAUUAGCUAGUUGGUGGGGUAACGGCCCACCAAGGCGACGAUGGGUAGCCGGUCUGAGAGGAUGACCGGCCACACUGGGACUGGAACACGGCCCAGACUCCUACGGGAGGCAGCAGUGGGGAAUAUUGCGCAAUGGGCGAAAGCCUGACGCAGCGACGCCGCGUGAGGGAAUGAAGGUCCUCGGAUCGUAAACCUCUGUCAGGAGGGAAGAACCGCCACGGUGCUAAUCAGCCGUGGUCUGACGGUACCUCCAAAGGAAGCACCGGCUAACUCCGUGCCAGCCGCCGC